GACGAACGCUGGCGGCGUGCUUAACACAUGCAAGUCGAACGGAAAGGCCCUGCUUUCGUGGGGUGCCCGAGUGGCAAACGGGUGCGUAUCACGGGAGUAACCUGACCUACAUUUUGGGAUAACUUAAGGAAACUGGGGCUACUCUAGGACAGCAGACCCUGUUCCAUGGUGGGGGUUGGAAAUUCUCGGCGGUCGGGGAUGGACUCGCGGGUUACCAGUUUGUUGGUGGGGUAGUGGCUUACCAAGGCUUUGACGGGUACCCGGCCUGAGUGGGUGGCCGGCCACAAUGGGACUGAGGGACGGCCCAGACGGCUACGUGGGGCAGCAGUGGGGAGUAUGGCACAAUGGUCGGGAGCCGGAUGCGGCAGCGCCGCGGGCGUGAUGACGGCCUUCGGGUUGAAAACCGCAUUCGCCUGUGACGAAGCUGGAGUGACGGUAAUGGGUAAAGAAGCACCGGCUAACUACGUG
rnacentral:rRNA from 1 species